UACAGAGGUCUCAAGCGUUGUUCGGAUUCACUGGGCGUAAAGGGCGCGUAGGCGGCCUGAUAAGUAGGGGGUGAAAUCCUGCGGCUUAACCGCAGGGCUGCCUUCUAAACUGUCAGGCUAGAGCACAGUAGAGGCAGGUGGAAUUCCCGGUGUAGCGGUGGAAUGCGUAGAGAUCGGGAAGAACAUCAGUGGCGAAGGCGGCCUGCUGGGCUGUUGCUGACGCUGAGGCGCGACAGCGUGGGGAGCAAACAGG
rnacentral:rRNA from 1 species